rnacentral:rRNA from 1 species
UACGUAGGGUGCAAGCGUUAAUCGGAAUUACUGGGCGUAAAGCGUGCGCAGGCGGUUGUGCAAGACAGAUGUGAAAUCCCCGGGCUCAACCUGGGAAUUGCAUUUGUGACUGCAAGGCUAGAGUGUGUCAGAGGGGGGUAGAAUUCCACGUGUAGCAGUGAAAUGCGUAGAGAUGUGGAGGAAUACCGAUGGCGAAGGCAGCCCCCUGGGAUAAUACUGACGCUCAUGCACGAAGGCGUGGGGAGCAAACAGG